rnacentral:rRNA from 1 species
AGAGAUUGAACAUAAGAGUUUGAUCCUGGCUCAGAUUGAACGCUGGCGGCAUGCUUUACACAUGCAAGUCGGACGGCAGCACAGGGAAGCUUGCUUCUCGGGUGGCGAGUGGCGAACGGGUGAGUAACAUAUCGGAACGUACCGGGUAGCGGGGGAUAACUGAUCGAAAGAUCAGCUAAUACCGCAUACGUCUUGAGAGGGAAAGCAGGGGACCUUCGGGCCUUGCGCUAUCCGAGCGGCCGAUAUCUGAUUAGCUGGUUGGCGGGGUAAAGGCCCACCAAGGCGACGAUCAGUAGCGGGUCUGAGAGGAUGAUCCGCCACACUGGGACUGAGACACGGCCCAGACUCCUACGGGAGGCAGCAGUGGGGAAUUUUGGACAAUGGGCGCAAGCCUGAUCCAGCCAUGCCGCGUGUCUGAAGAAGGCCUUCGGGUUGUAAAGGACUUUUGUCAGGGAAGAAAAGGCCGUUGCCAAUAUCGGCGGCCGAUGACGGUACCUGAAGAAUAAGCACCGGCUAACUACGUGCCAGCAGCCGCGGUAAUACGUAGGGUGCGAGCGUUAAUCGGAAUUACUGGGCGUAAAGCGGGCGCAGACGGUUACUUAAGCAGGAUGUGAAAUCCCCGGGCUCAACCCGGGAACUGCGUUCUGAACUGGGUGACUCGAGUGUGUCAGAGGGAGGUGGAAUUCCACGUGUAGCAGUGAAAUGCGUAGAGAUGUGGAGGAAUACCGAUGGCGAAGGCAGCCUCCUGGGAUAACACUGACGUUCAUGUCCGAAAGCGUGGGUAGCAAACAGGAUUAGAUACCCUGGUAGUCCACGCCCUAAACGAUGUCAAUUAGCUGUUGGGCAACUUGAUUGCUUGGUAGCGUAGCUAACGCGUGAAAUUGACCGCCUGGGGAGUACGGUCGCAAGAUUAAAACUCAAAGGAAUUGACGGGGACCCGCACAAGCGGUGGAUGAUGUGGAUUAAUUCGAUGCAACGCGAAGAACCUUACCUGGUUUUGACAUGUGCGGAAUCCUCCGGAGACGGAGGAGUGCCUUCGGGAGCCGUAACACAGGUGCUGCAUGGCUGUCGUCAGCUCGUGUCGUGAGAUGUUGGGUUAAGUCCCGCAACGAGCGCAACCCUUGUCAUUAGUUGCCAUCAUUCGGUUGGGCACUCUAAUGAGACUGCCGGUGACAAGCCGGAGGAAGGUGGGGAUGACGUCAAGUCCUCAUGGCCCUUAUGACCAGGGCUUCACACGUCAUACAAUGGUCGGUACAGAGGGUAGCCAAGCCGCGAGGCGGAGCCAAUCUCACAAAACCGAUCGUAGUCCGGAUUGCACUCUGCAACUCGAGUGCAUGAAGUCGGAAUCGCUAGUAAUCGCAGGUCAGCAUACUGCGGUGAAUACGUUCCCGGGUCUUGUACACACCGCCCGUCACACCAUGGGAGUGGGGGAUACCAGAAGUAGGUAGGGUAACCGCAAGGAGCCCGCUUACCACGGUAUGCUUCAUGACUGGGGUGAAGUCGUAACAAGGUAGCCGUAGGGGAACCUGCGGCUGGAUCACCUCCUUUCUA